CCUUGAAUGGGGCGUGCCCAUCACUGCUUUUGUCAUAGUGCCUCAGAUUGGAAUGACCCCCGCCCAGGAGAGUGGCCAAGCACACUGUGGCCCACUCAUACAUCAGAAGAUUACACACUGGAUAAAAUGACACAAGCCACCUGCUACACACCAUGGUGCAGGUGAAUCUCCAGGCUUUGUGUGCAGUAAAGUAAGCCAGACACAGAGACCAAAUUUUACUGUUUGUAUGAACACCAAGAGUCUCUGGUGUUAAAAGUCAGGCUAGCAGUCACCUCUGGGGUGGCAUUUACUGGGGAGAAGACCUGGGGAGCAUGAAAUGUUGAUGCCUCGAUCUGAGGUUGGGUGGCUGUAGGAACCCCUGUGGCCGCCCACCCAGCUGUGCACAUAGUCCUGGGGAACUCCAUUUCGCAUAAAUUACACGGUGGGCAGGACCCAGGUCACAAGGGAUGGAAUCUAUGCAGAAAGGAGGUGUUCCAAGGGGAACUCAGAAGAGCAGGGAAGGAGAAUAGAGUGACGCUACUGCUGGGAAAGAGAAGGUCCAGUGCGUUCUUGCCAGAAAGGUUUUCAGACUCUGUCUCAACUCUGCUGUGACCACCAUGCCCAGCCCUGUGCUGUGCUGCCCACCAGGCCUCAGCUGUGCCCCACAUGGGCAGUGGGCCAAGGGUGGCGUCUCUCCCUCCUCCACAGGUGACAGCAGAGAAAACACAGCCUCACGUAGACCCUCCCUUCUCGAAAGGAGCCGACAGUCCUGAUCCCAGGCCCCAAAGCUCCUCUCAACCAUCAGCCCCAAUCACAACGACUCAACAACUCGACCUGCCUGCACACAACCUCAGCUCUGCACUUAGGACCUGCCCAAGCCAGCCUUCACCUUGGGAGCUGAAAAGUUCACAUCAAGCAGAUUUUCCUCCAGUGUCCUUGACAGGAAAGCUACAUCUGAGAGCGUUUAACCCCAAACUCCAAAGCUGCAAACAGUCAAGAGAACCUAGGCCAGAGCGAGGCCUGCACAGCACAGUGCACGGGCCCUCGGGACAGACGUCCAAGGGACCUGGAUAGCACUCUUUUGCCCGCCCUGGUCUGUCUGUCCUAGCACCCAGGAUGUCCCUUCUCCCCCAGGGGUGACCCUCUCACUAUAAGAGACCCUGAACUAACUACAAA
rnacentral:lncRNA from 1 species